CAAUACAAAAAGCUGAGAUCUAAGAUAAUACAUCUCCUUGUUCUUUCUGAUACUUAAGCUUCUUUUACUUAAAAUCCUAAUCAGAAAUCCUGCUGUAAAUUUCACAAGCUAAGGUCUAUAAACUAUAAUAAUAUCAAUACCUUUCUAUAUACUAAAAAUUACAGCUUCAUUCCGGCAAGUAAUUGAGCUUCAAAUGCUGCUACACUUCAAUUUAUCAUCUGGGCUACUUCCACCUUCUUUCUUAACAGCAAUUACAUCUGUAAGUUUAUGAGGUUCAGCCUGUUCCAGCAUUUGAACUACCAUUCUCAUUGAUGGUCUUAGAGCUGGGAUUUUUGCUGUGCAGUGAACGGCGAUGCGUAGAACUUUAAUGGCAUCCUCCUUCAGGUUGUCUAAGAUGUUUGAGUCCACUAAAUCUAGUGAACUCUCUUUGCUUGUCAUUUUUCUGUAAACCCAGUUGACUAUGUCCUUGUUCUCUCCAAAUUCUGAUUCAAUUGGCUUUUUGCCCGUGACCAACUCCAUUAGGACUACUCCAAAGCUGUAUACAUCGCUCUUCUCAUUUACCUUGCAUGUGUAUGCAUACUCAGGAGCCAUGUAACCAAGAGUGCCGGCAAUGAUAUGACUCGAAUCUCCUCCACCGGCAGCCUGCAUAAUCUUAGCAAGUCCAAAAUCAGCAAUUCUAGGCUUCCACUCCUUAUCCAACAAAAUAUUACUCGACUUCACAUCUCUGUGAAUCACUGGCCUAUCGAACCCAUGAUGCAAGUACUCCAAUCCCCUUGCAGCCCCUACUGCAAUUGCAUACCUCAACUCCCACCUCAUCUUAAUCUUGUUACAGGAAUGUAGCUGAUCCCACAAGCUUCCAUUAGGUAGAUACUCAUAAACCAGGAGAUUGCUGUCCUCACUUGUGAUGCUACA
rnacentral:misc_RNA from 1 species